AAAAAGAAAAGAUAAUUAUAGAUCAAGUAGAAACAAACAUUAGAAUCAUAAAUCAAAUUUUGACCAUCAUUCUUUAUUUGAUCAGCAAUUCUUGAAAGGAAGGCCAAAAAAUGUGGGAGCUAAAAGCGAAAUCUUUCGUCAAUCCAACCAAAGUGUGAGCAACGGUAUUUACCUCCUUCGAGAGCUACUGAAUUCUCACCUUCCAAUCUCUCCUACAAAGUUUUUUAAUUCUCAUAACUAAAUUCCUAUUCAUUUGUCCUUCGAGCCUAUCAUUAAGAGCUUCAACAGUUAGAGCAUAAUCAAUUUCGACAAUUAUAUUAGAUAGUGUAUUUAUUAUUGAAAUAGGUUACUGGAAACAAGUGAUAAAGAUGGGGAUAAUUGCAUAUCAGAACAAGACAUCCAAAUCAGACAGUUGCCAAAGUAAUUGAAGAUCUUGACACAAGUGGAGACGAUUUCAUCAAUGGGAUUUCAAAGUGGCUUAAAACAUCUCAAAAAGAAAUUCAGCCUCAACAUGAUUUCUACCAAGGCCACAAUAGUUGAGUAUCCGAGGUAUAUCAUCUCUAAAGGUAGUGUGGCAAUGGAUCAGUCAAAGGUUCGGUCUAUGUUGCAUUGGCCUACUCCCCAAUCUGUCAAAGAUUUAAAAGCUUCGUUGGGGUUAUCAAGGUAUUGCAGACUUUUUGUGAAGCACUAUGGGUUAUUAGCCAAACCGCUAACUGACCUUUUGAAGAAGGAUCAGUGGCAUGGUCUGAGUCUGCUGGAGCAGCUUUUCAACAGUUGAAGCAGGCCUUAUGUUCAGCCCCUAUUCUGUCUUUACUAGAUUUCACUCAAGACUUUGAGGUGAAAAUUGAUGUUUCUGGUCUGGGGGUGAGUGUUGUGCUGCAACAAUGGGGCAGGCCAUUGGCCUACUUCAGUAAGGCAUCAAGCCUUAUCCAUCUAUGAUAAGGAGGUGCUAGUUGUGUUGUUUGUUGUGAAGAAAUGGAGUCCCUAUUUAGUAGGAAAACAUUUUAAAAUCUAUACUGAUCAUCGGGCUAGUUGUGUUGUUUGUUGUGAAGAAAUGGAGUCCCUAUUUAGUAGGAAAACAUUUUAAAAUCUAUACUGAUCAUCGGAGUUUGAGAUUUAUCACUGCUAAUCAGGCUGUAACCCCUUUCAACAACAGCGGGUUGGUAAAAUGCUCGGUUAUGACUUUUAGAUUUGCUACAUGAAAGGUGCUACCGAUAUGGUGGCUAAUGCAUUGUCCAGAAGGCCUAUUAAGGGACAUGAUGAUAAGCUGAAGAAACUCAUUGAAGAGCUUGUUAGGAAUCCUAGAAGCAAUGCUAAAUAUACAUCGGAUGGUUGUUUUUUGAGGAGAAGGAGGAAGUUUAGUUGUGGGGGCAAAUGUGGAUCUCAAGAGGGAAUUGUUUGGUCAUUUUCAUAGCAGUGCUUUAGGGGGACAUUCUGGGGUUCAUGCCACAAAUAAGAGGUUGUCAAGCCAUGUUUGUGCCCCUUUAUAUUCACUUCCAAUCAUUUUAUCGAUACAUAGAUUAUGUAUUUCUAUAAUUCAUUAAUCCUUAUCCUCACAAAUAAAGAUAUGAAUUUCAUGAAAA